UACGAAGGGGGCUAGCGUUGCUUGGAAUUGCUGGGCGUAAAGCGCGCGUAGGCGGCUCUUUAAGUCAGGGGUGAAAUCCUGGAGCUCAACUCCAGAACUGCCCUUGAUACUGAGGAGCUUGAGUCCGGGAGAGGUGAGUGGAACUGCGAGUGUAGAGGUGAAAUUCGUAGAUAUUCGCAAGAGCACCAGUGGCGAAGGCGGCUCACUGGCCCGGUACUGACGCUGAGGUGCGGAAGCGUGGGGAGCAAACAGG
rnacentral:rRNA from 1 species